rnacentral:rRNA from 1 species
CCUACGGGAGGCAGCAGUGGGGAAUUUUGGACAAUGGGCGAAAGCCUGAUCCAGCCAUGCCGCGUGAGUGAAGAAGGCCUUCGGGUUGUAAAGCUCUUUUAGUCGGAAAGAAAGAGUUGCAAUGAAUAAUUGUGAUUUAUGACGGUACCGACAGAAAAAGCACCGGCUAACUACGUGCCAGCAGCCGCGGUAAUACGUAGGGUGCGGGCGUUAAUCGGAAUUACUGGGCGUAAAGGGUGCGCAGGCGGUCUUGCAAGUCAGAUGUGAAAGCCCCGGGCUUAACCUGGGAAUUGCGUUUGAAACUACAAGGCUAGAGUGCAGCAGAGGGGAGUGGAAUUCCAUGUGUAGCAGUGAAAUGCGUAGAGAUGUGGAAGAACACCGAUGGCGAAGGCAGCUCCCUGGGUUGACACUGACGCUCAUGCACGAAAGCGUGGGGAGCAAACAGGAUUAGAUACCCUGGUAGUCCACGCCCUAAACGAUGUCAACUAGUUGUCGGAUCUAAUUAAGGAUUUGGUAACGUAGCUAACGCGUGAAGUUGACCGCACUGGGGAGUACGGUCGCAAGAUAAAACUCAAAGGAA